CUGCUCUUGGCUUGGGGCAGCCAUCCCGGAGCUUUGAGUCCCGCCGCCACGCAAGGCAGGGCAGGUCUGUCUUCAAGAAAAACAAACCAGACUUACCUCAGAGACGGCGAAAAGCUUUGCGGAACAGCUGACAGCCCCCCUGGCAGGAGAAGGGAGGACACCAGCAGCAAGACGCUCCCCAAGCCUGCGGGACGCAUGCUGAGUUUCCAGGCUGCAGAAGCAAGGAGCGUGGCUGCGAGGGCAGCAUGUAAUGAUGAAUAUUACCAUGAGGACCAUGUGCAGCUGUGAAGCAAAGAUGAAAUGACGAAUUGAACAUCGUUCACCGUAAGCUAUCAUUUCUUCAUGGAUUUCCCAAGACUUUCUCAUCGUCUCAUCAUCCAUGGGAUUGUUUGGCUCCUAAGCAUGAAUUAUG
rnacentral:lncRNA from 1 species